UCGAGAAUUUUUCUCAAUGGGGGAAACCCUGAAGGAGCGACGCCGCGUGGAGGAUGAAGGUCUUCGGAUUGUAAACUCCUGUCAUUGGUGAACAAGGCCCACGCAGUAACUGGUGUUGGGUUUGAUAGUAGCCGAAGAGGAAGAGACGGCUAACUCUGUGCCAGCAGCCGCGGUAAUACAGAGGUCUCAAGCGUUGUUCGGAUUCAUUGGGCGUAAAGGGUGCGUAGGCUGUGGGGUAAGUCUGGUGUGAAAUCCCGGGGCUCAACCCCGGAACUGCACUGGAUACUGCCUUGCUUGAGCACUGGAGAGGGAACUGGAAUUUACGGUGUAGCAGUGAAAUGCGUAGAUAUCGUAAGGAAGACCAGUGGCGAAGGCGAGUUCCUGGACAGUUGCUGACACUGAGGCACGAAGGCUAGGGGAGCAAACG
rnacentral:rRNA from 1 species